AGUGAACGCUGGCGGUAGGCCUAACACAUGCAAGUCGAACGGCAGCACAGUAAGAGCUUGCUCUUACGGGUGGCGAGUGGCGGACGGGUGAUGAAUACAUCGGAAUCUACUUUUUCGUGGGGGAUAACGUAGGGAAACUUACGCUAAUACCGCAUACGACCUACGGGUGAAAGCAGGGGAUCUUCGGACCUUGCGCGAUUGAAUGAGCCGAUGUCGGAUUAGCUAGUUGGCGGGGUAAAGGCCCACCAAGGCGACGAUCCGUAGCUGGUCUGAGAGGAUGAUCAGCCACACUGGAACUGAGACACGGUCCAGACUCCUACGGGAGGCAGCAGUGGGGAAUAUUGGACAAUGGGCGCAAGCCUGAUCCAGCCAUACCGCGUGGGUGAAGAAGGCCUUCGGGUUGUAAAGCCCUUUUGUUGGGAAAGAAAAGCAGCAGGUUAAUACCCCGCUGUUCUGACGGUACCCAAAGAAUAAGCACCGGCUAACUCCGUG
rnacentral:rRNA from 1 species